GCAGCAGCCGCGGGAAUACAGAGGGUGCGAGCGUUAAUCGGAUUUACUGGGCGUGAAGCGUGCGUAGGCGGCUUUUUAAGUCGGAUGUGAAAUCCCUGAGCUUAACUUAGGAAUUGCAUUCGAUACUGGGAAGCUAGAGUAUGGGAGAGGAUGGUAGAAUUCCAGGUGUAGCGGUGAAAUGCGUAGAGAUCUGGAGGAAUACCGAUGGCGAAGGCAGCCAUCUGGCCUAAUACUGACGCUGAGGUACGAAAGCAUGGGGAGCAAACAGGAUUAGAUACCCGUGUAGUCCCUGUCUCUUAUAC
rnacentral:rRNA from 1 species